UGAUGAUUGGCUGUUCUGCCUUAAGUCCCGCCUCUCUUGGUGGGUUAGAUGAUCGGUCAGCUCGCGCUGAGGAGGCGGGAACUUAUGUUUAUUUACAUCUCCCUUUUUCAGUAUAAAUAAGAUACAGAAAAGAAAGAGGCAGGAGAAGAUUGACACCUUUUUCAAGAGAAAUCCUGAGAUGAGGUUGCUGGAGGCAUCAGUUUAAAGAGAGAGAGAGGCACAGAAAGUUUCACAGGUGAGCAAUGAAAAAUGAAUGUUACAGUUUGUAAAAGAGGUCUAUGAAGAAAGAGAGGGUGUGUUUGUGUCAUGGGUGGUGCUUAAUUCCAUCCCAGGUGCACAUACGCGUGUUUCUGGUGUGUUUAUAUCAAAUUUAAAAUGUUAUCCAUCCCCCACACUUUUAAAAAGCUUGCUACGCCCCUG